rnacentral:rRNA from 1 species
AUUGAACGCUGGCGGCAUGCCUUACACAUGCAAGUCGAACGGCAGCACGGGAGCAAUCCUGGUGGCGAGUGGCGAACGGGUGAGUAAUAUAUCGGAACGUGCCCAGUCGUGGGGGAUAACGCAGCGAAAGCUGUGCUAAUACCGCAUACGAUCUACGGAUGAAAGCGGGGGAUCGCAAGACCUCGCGCGAUUGGAGCGGCCGAUAUCAGAUUAGCUAGUUGGUGGGGUAAAGGCCCACCAAGGCGACGAUCUGUAGCUGGUCUGAGAGGACGACCAGCCACACGGGAACUGAGGCACGGUCCAGACUCCUACGGGAGGCAGCAGUGGGGAAUUUUGGACAAUGGGCGCAAGCCUGAUCCAGCAAUGCCGCGUGCAGGGUGAAGGCCUUCGGGUUGUAAACUGCUUUUGUACGGAACGAAACGGCCCUUUCUAAUACAGGGGGCUAAUGACGGUACCGUAAGAAUAAGCACCGGCUAACUACGUGCCAGCCGCCGCCGUAA